UAUGUGAUCGUCUCUCGCAUAUCAAUAAGCGGAGGAAAAGAAACUAACAAGGAUUCCCCUAGUAACGGCGAGUGAAGCGGGAAGAGCUCAAAUUUGAAAUCUUAAAGGGGUUUCCCUUUACGAAUUGUAGUUUAAAGAAGUGUUUUCUGUUGAGGUUUUGGUAAAAGUUCUUUGGAAUAGGACAUCAUAGAGGGUGAGAAUCCCGUAUUUGACCUUUACUUUCAACUUUGUGAUACACUUUCAAAGAGUCGGAUUGUUUGGGAAUGCAGUCCAAAAUGGGUGGUAAAUUUCAUCUAAAGCUAAAUAUUGGCGAGAGACCGAUAGCGAACAAGUACCGUGAGGGAAAGAUGAAAAGAACUUUGAAAAGAGAGUUAAACAGUACGUGAAAUUGUCAAAAGGGAAGCGUUUGACACCAGUGUUGUUUUUUCUGAAAAUCAAUUAAAGAACUGUUUAUGCUAAGCUUGUUUAGACUUUAUCAGCUAACUGUCUAGUUUUGAGCUUUUCUUUAACUGCACUUUUCAGUUAACAAGUCAACAUCAAUUUCUUUUGCUGUAAAAAAGCUUGAGGAAGGUGGCUUGAGAUUCGUCUUAAGUGUUUAUAGCCUCAUUGCCUAUGCAGUCGGAGAGAUUGAGGUCUGCAGCGUAGAUCCUUCGGGGCUAAAUGCAUUUGUGCUAAGUUAUAGCAUUUUCAUAGACAACUUGUUGACUAUGAUUUGUCUUGUAGCUUACUCGCUUAUGUUAUUUUACCUACGCUUAGGAUGUUGAAGACUCUACAGAGAUA
rnacentral:rRNA from 1 species